GAUGAACGCUAGCGGCAGGCUUAACACAUGCAAGUCGAGGGGUAGAGGAAGCUUGCUUCCUUGAGACCGGCGCACGGUGCGUAACGCGUAUGCAAUCUACCUUAUACAGGGGGAUAGCCCAGGGAAAUUUGGAUUAAUACCCCAUAGUAUAAUUGAAUGGCAUCAUUUGAUUAUUAAAGUUCCAACGGUAUAAGAUGAGCAUGCGUCUCAUUAGCUAGUUGGUGUGGUAACGGCACACCAAGGCGACGAUGGGUAGGGGUCCUGAGAGGGAGAUCCCCCACACUGGUACUGAGACACGGACCAGACUCCUACGGGAGGCAGCAGUGAGGAAUAUUGGUCAAUGGGCGCAAGCCUGAACCAGCCAUGCCGCGUGCAGGAUGACGGUCCUAUGGAUUGUAAACUGCUUUUGUACAGGAAGAAACACUCCCUCGUGAGGGAGCUUGACGGUACUGUAAGAAUAAGGAUCGGCUAACUCCGUGCCAGCAGCCGC
rnacentral:rRNA from 1 species